rnacentral:tRNA from 1 species
GUCCCCUUCGUCUAGCGGCCCAGGACACCGCCCUUUCAAGGCGGCAGCGCGGGUUCGAAUCCCGUAGGGGAUACCA